CGGCCGUGCCGCGUACGGUAGGCGCGGUGUAUUUUUGGGGUUGGAUUCGUGUUGAUUUCUGGGGGCUUCCAGGUGCGGCCGCUCCCCGAGAAGCGAGACCGUGCUGAGGACGUGGUUGUCUGUCCUUCCCCCGGGGAUGCCGUUGACUGCAGCCGUCUCAGGCUUGCGUGGCUUCUCUCUGCCCGGCGUUGCCAUCCUCGCAGCGCGGGGGCGAAAAGGGACACACAGAGCCCUUCCCGGCUGUGGACAGGAGCUGCCUCGGCUGAAGCUGGAGACGCCAACGAAAGGUAAAGCAGAAGAAACUGAAGGCGCUCUGGCUGCCAGCUGCCUUCCUGCUGCAGGCAAGAGAGAGCCUGUCCCUGCAGGUGAGGGAGGGAGGAUCCCCCUUCGUAGCCCGCAGCGGGCCAGGCCACCAACGUGCACCGCAGGGUGGAGGACGGCCUAGAGUCUGGAGCUGCAGAAGAGGCAGGGCGGAGAGGAGGGGAAAGAAGCAUCUGAACGGCUAAAUUGUGCCAGCAGCGCUGAGAGCGAGAGUCGCGCCCGUCGCUCCAGGAGCCAGGCGACGGACGGUCCCUUCCCUGCCAAACGCGGACAAGCGCGUGCCGUGGUUUAGCCCCAGCUGGCAACUCUGCACCAGGGAGCUGCUUGCUCGCUCCACCCUCAGUGGGCUGGGGGAGAGAGCUGGAAGGGUAAAAGUGAGAAAAAUCAUGGGCUGAGAUCAAGACUGUUUAAUAGGUAAAGCAAAAGCUGUGCGUGGAAGCAAAGCAAGGAAUUAAUUCACUCCUCCUUUUCGGCGGGCAGGUGUUGAGCCACCUCUGGGAAAGCAGGGCUCUGUCAUGUGUCAUGGUUACUUAGGGAGAGAAAUGCCAUAGCCCCCCCCCCCCCCCAAGGACUCCCCCUUCUUCCCCCAGCUGCGUGUGCUGAGCAUGAUGUCAAAUGGU